rnacentral:rRNA from 1 species
AACGCUAGCGACAGGCUUAACACAUGCAAGUCGAGGGGCAGCACAGGUAGCAAUACCGGGUGGCGACCGGCGCACGGGUGAGUAACGCGUAUGCAACUUGCCUAUCAGAGGGGGAUAACCCGGCGAAAGUCGGACUAAUACCGCAUGAAGCAGGGGCCCCGCAUGGGGAUAUUUGCUAAAGAUUCAUCGCUGAUAGAUAGGCAUGCGUUCCAUUAGGCAGUUGGCGGGGUAACGGCCCACCAAACCGACGAUGGAUAGGGGUUCUGAGAGGAAGGUCCCUCACAUUGGUACUGAGACACGGACCAAACUCCUACGGGAGGCAGCAGUGAGGAAUAUUGGUCAAUGGCCGAGAGGCUGAACCAGCCAAGUCGCGUGAGGGAUGAAGGUUCUAUGGAUCGUAAACCUCUUUUAUAAGGGAAUAAAGUGCGGGACGUGUCCCGUUUUGUAUGUACCUUAUGAAUAAGGAUCGGCUAACUCCGUGCCAGCAGCCGCGGUAAUACGGAGGAUCCGAGCGUUAUCCGGAUUUAUUGGGUUUAAAGGGUGCGUAGGCGGCCUUUUAAGUCAGCGGUGAAAGUCUGUGGCUCAACCAUAGAAUUGCCGUUGAAACUGGGGGGCUUGAGUAUGUUUGAGGCAGGCGGAAUGCGUGGUGUAGCGGUGAAAUGCAUAGAUAUCACGCAGAACCCCGAUUGCGAAGGCAGCCUGCCAAGCCAUUACUGACGCUGAUGCACGAAAGCGUGGGGAUCAAACAGGAUUAGAUACCCUGGUAGUCCACGCAGUAAACGAUGAUCACUAGCUGUUUGCGAUACACUGUAAGCGGCACAGCGAAAGCGUUAAGUGAUCCACCUGGGGAGUACGCCGGCAACGGUGAAACUCAAAGGAAUUGACGGGGGCCCGCACAAGCGGAGGAACAUGUGGUUUAAUUCGAUGAUACGCGAGGAACCUUACCCGGGUUUGAACGCAUUCGGACCGAGGUGGAAACACCUUUUCUAGCAAUAGCCGUUUGCGAGGUGCUGCAUGGUUGUCGUCAGCUCGUGCCGUGAGGUGUCGGCUUAAGUGCCAUAACGAGCGCAACCCUUGCCACUAGUUACUAACAGGUAAAGCUGAGGACUCUGGUGGGACUGCCAGCGUAAGCUGCGAGGAAGGCGGGGAUGACGUCAAAUCAGCACGGCCCUUACAUCCGGGGCGACACACGUGUUACAAUGGCGUGGACAAAGGGAAGCCACCUGGCGACAGGGAGCGAAUCCCCAAACCACGUCUCAGUUCGGAUCGGAGUCUGCAACCCGACUCCGUGAAGCUGGAUUCGCUAGUAAUCGCGCAUCAGCCAUGGCGCGGUGAAUACGUUCCCGGGCCUUGUACACACCGCCCGUCAAGCCAUGGGAGCCGGGGGUACCUGAAGUCCGUAACCGCGAGGAUCGGCCUAGGGUAAAACUGGUGACUGGGGC